rnacentral:rRNA from 1 species
UACGUAGGGGGCAAGCGUUGUCCGGAUUUAUUGGGCGUAAAGAGCGUGUAGGCGGCCAGGUAGGUCAGCUGUGAAAACUCGAGGCUCAACCUCGAGCUGUCGGCUGAAACCAUCUGGCUAGAGUCCGGAAGAGGAGAAUGGAAUUCCCGGUGUAGCGGUGAAAUGCGCAGAUAUCGGGAAGAACACCCGUGGCGAAGGCGGCCAGCUGGGCCGGUUCUGACGCUGAGGCGCGAAAGCGUGGGGAGCAAACAGG